UGCUCAAGUUUUAGACAAGUGUAAAGGGA
rnacentral:piRNA from 1 species